rnacentral:rRNA from 1 species
AUUGAACGCUGGCGGCAGGCCUAACACAUGCAAGUCGAGCGGAUGAAGGGAGCUUGCUCCUGGAUUCAGCGGCGGACGGUUGAGUAAUGCCUAGGAAUCUGCCUGGUAGUGGGGGAUAACGUCCGGAAACGGGCGCUAAUACCGCACACGUCCUGAGGGAGAAAGUGGGGGAUCUUCGGACCUCACGCUAUCAGAUGAGCCUAGGUCGGAUUAGCUAGUUGGUGGGGUAAAGGCCUACCAAGGCGACGAUCCGUAACUGGUCUGAGAGGAUGAUCAGUCACACUGGAACUGAGACACGGUCCAGACUCCUACGGGAGGCAGCAGUGGGGAAUAUUGGACAAUGGGCGAAAGCCUGAUCCAGCCAUGCCGAGUGUGUGAAGAAGGUCUUCGGAUUGUAAAGCACUUUAAGUUGGGAGGAAGGGCAGUAAGUUAAUACCUUGCUGUUUUGACGGUACCAACAGAAUAAGCACCGGCUAACUUCGUG